UCAGGUGGCGUAUCAGAUGGUAGGUCGGAGGAUUUUGAUGCUGCUUGUGUGUCUCCCUUUUUAAGUAUGGCAAGGAGCUUCUUCGUGAGCGAGGUGGUACUAAAAGUUGUGGCCAUGAACUCUGGCGCAACAGAUUUCGUACGUAGGCCGGCCCAUUACGAAUUCUUCCCCGUUCCCUCGUCUUGAUCGCUUCUUCCCACAUAAGGCCCCAAAUCGCUCCGCCCCGAGCUCCUGCGCCGGCCGCUGCUCUUCCGCCGCACCGAGAUCAAGCGCCGCCUUCCGUUGAAUUUGGGAUUCGACGCCGCCUUCCGGUCAACGGGUAGGUUGCCAGCCGGCGGGGAACGGGUAGGUCGCCAUAUCCCAAAUCUUCAGUUUAUUAUAUUGUCAGAUUCACCAUUAAUUGCAAAGAACUACAAAUUAUGAUAGUUAAACAAAAAACACAUCUUCCGCUCCGUCCACAGUAGAAUUGACAGGCGCAAUGUAUCCAUCAUCGAUGUAGUCGUCCGUGUCAUCUUCUUCAUCUUCAUUUGCUAAGUCAAUAGUUGUUGGUUCGGGUACAGACUCAACAAGAGCCUUUUCAAUAACAGAUGCGUCACCGGUGACACCUUCAACGCCAGUCCUAGUCCAGUUUGUCAAAUCUUCAUGUGUGCCCGAUUCGAUCAUAUCUCUGACUCCGACAUCGAUUGAAUCAACAUCAAUUUCU
rnacentral:lncRNA from 1 species